AUUGAACGCUGGCGGCAGGCCUAACACAUGCACGUCGAGCGAGCGGCGGACGGGUGAGUAAUGUCUGGGAAACUGCCUGAUGGAGGGGGAUAACUACUGGAAACGGUAGAUAAUACCGCAUCCCAUCAGAUGUGCCCAGAUGGGAGUAGCUAGUAGGUGGGGUAACGGCUCACCUAGGCGACGAUCCCUAGCUGGUCUGAGAGGAUGACCAGCCAAACAGGAACUGAGAGACGGUCCAGACUCCUACGGGAGGCAGCAGUUGGGAAUAUUGCACAAGGGGCGCAAGCCUGAUGCAGCCAUGCCGCGUGUGUGAAGAAGGCCUUCGGGUUGUAAAGCACUUUCAGCGGGGAGGCGUUACCCGCAGAAGAAGCACCGGCUAACUCCGUGCCAGCAGCCGCGGUAAUAC
rnacentral:rRNA from 1 species